rnacentral:piRNA from 1 species
GCUCAAUAAAAAGUGAGCACUGCCUGUAGGU